UGAUAUAUAUGUAGAUAUAAGCAGGAAACUUUUUUGGGAAUUAGGUAAGGGUUUUUUAGAGUGGAGUAAAGGAAGAGAAAAUACUUGAAGCGGCAAAAAGUUUCACAGAAGAUGUGGAUACGAAACCAAAACUGAGGGGGGAAUAAUGAUGGCCCUUUCAAUCUGAUAUAGUUUUCAAUCUGAAUUUUGUGUCUGCAUUUUGCUGCUCGUAUUCUUCUUCUUCUUCUUCUGAGAUUUACUGUCUCAGCUCUGCUCCACUCUGCCCUUUGGACCUCGUGAUGAUGAUGCUCUGAAGGUUCAAUCCCUCUCAGUUUCUCUGUGCCUUUAGAUUCUUUGCUUUCCUAUAAGCUGUCCAUUUCUAGCAGCCAAUAUAAUAUUUUCUUUUAUAUAUAUAUAUAUAUAUAUAUAAAUAUUUCUUUAUUCCUAAUUUCCCUAGUUUUUACAUGGGUAAGAUCUACAUUGUGAAAUAACAAAAGGGUUUAGGAUUAAAACAAUGAGAUUAUGUUUUGAAAAUUGGGUUUUUGUUUUUUUGUUUUUUAGGGGUAAAUCAAAGGUGAGAUUGAAGUUGCAAUUUUCUCAGUCUGAUUAACUCUGCAUUAAAGAUAGUGAAUAAUGAUGGAAUGGAAUGGUUUUUAUCAGCUGUGAAUGCAGUGGAAUGGAUUUAUGAUAAUCAGAGUGAGAAAAAAUUGCAUCUUCAGUCUCAGCUUUCAAGAUAAAUGCAGUGGAAUGGGAUUUUACUGGAAUGAGUUCCCAGUUCUGUGUUUUCGGUUUUUGAAUGGAAAGCAUUGAUGGAAUAUGAUUGUUAGUUUUCAGCUUCCAUCAACCUUCAGUUGAACUGGGCGAACAUCUUGAUGAGACUAAACUAGGCUGAAAGAAAAUGUUAAAGAAACUUCCAUCUAGGCGAAAGCUGUUUUUUUUUUUUUUUCCCUUUCUGCGGAAGCCACUUAACAUCCAAUCAAAGAUGGCAAUAAUCCUAAUGCUGGGGCUCUUUCUAGCUUUUUAGAGAUGAUUGCAAUGAAAUUUAUUGAUUUCGUUUCUCAGGGUUUACUAAAUUAUAAUUUAAGAUAUAUAAUUUUAUGGAGUAGAAUGAAUACCAUAAGCUUGAAGAUUUAAUUUUGUAAUUCUAAGAAAUGGCUAAUGCAUAUUCGAGAAAUCCACAACAAUGUUGCACCUGGCUUUUCUUACUGGAAGAAACCCUAAUGCAUCGUUGCCUGCUUGAUGUUAGCCUGUCUCUCACUGCUUGCUGUGAGAGGCAAUAUGAUGGUUGAAGAACCGAAGUCUCUAUUUUAUGGGCUUCUAUCUGUGUAGGAAUUUAGAAGAUUGCAAAAAUGUUAAUAAUCUUCUACUGUUGCAGUAGCUUUUAUAUUCAAAGUGUGGCUUUCUGGAGGAGUUUCUGUCUCUCAAGAUGAAGAAUUUACUUGUUGUGUAACUUUCUGUACCUUAAAAACAUAGAAUUUAGACAGGCACUAGUCAAGUCUUUUAUGUGCUUUCUUGUUAGCAUUUGUUAAAUCUCUUUACCAUUUCCUUUUUCCAAGUCUCUUCUUAAUGUUUGGUAAGUGGGUUUUAUAUGGUAUUUAAUGUUUUGUAAUUCUCUAUACUUUGAUAUUUGUUUUUAAGAUGUCAGAUAGAUUUGAGCAGUUGGUAAAGCAAAUAAUCUUUCACAA